GGCUCGAGCGCCUGGCUGGAAGUUAAAGGAUGCGAUGAAGAUGGCGAUGGAUGUGAAGAAUAGGAGCGCAUAUUACCAAAAUAACUGCAGAAAUUAUCACUGCUUGCUCCCUAACUGCGCAGACGUCCACCAGUUUGCACCGAAAGACUCCGAUACUAAUCAAAAUGACGAAGCUCUGCCAAAUAAAAUGUGCCAACAACAGCCUUUUGAAGCCAUGUCCCUAAGGGAGGUGACAACACCCUCACUAAGACUUCCUCUUGCUAUGUCUCUGGCUGUGAAGUCUCUUCAGCUUCCUGCACAACAGGGGGCACCAGCUGCCUGUCCCAGAAAUUCCCCACCACUUCAAGAGGAAGCACCACAGUCAGGUGGAGAACAGGACCUGAGUAUAGAGGAGCUAUGUAAGCCCCUCUACUGUAAACUCUGCAAUGUCACCCUAAAUUCUGCACAACAAGCACAAGCUCAUUAUCAGGGAAAAAAUCAUAGCAAGAAGCUUAGAAAUUUCUACGCAGGCAAUCAGCAGUGUACUGCUAUCAGAUCACCAGAGGGAGUGGAGCCACAAGUGUUGCAGGUCCCAUCUGCCCCAGCUGGAGCCACAACAGAAGCAACUACAAGUCAGUCAGGUUUCUUCAAGAGUGGCAGCCGAGUAAUUUUGGCCACAGAGGAUGAUUACUGUAAGCUGUGUGAUGCCUCAUUCAGCUCUCCUGCUGUGGCUCAAGCUCAUUACCAUGGCAAGAACCAUGCCAAGAGGCUGCGACUGGCAGAGGCCCAGCAGAAUAAUGCAUUUAUAGACACAUCAGAAACCAACCAAAGGUGGACAAGAAAAGAGGGCAGUGAGCUUAAAGUCAUGAAAGCCCGUAGGAAUAUGCAUGUUCCUCAAAACAUUCCAGGUCCGUAUUACAAUCCUCGACCACGUCAGCGAAUCCCUCGCGACUUGGCAAUGUGCGUAACUCCCAGUGGCCAGUUCUACUGCUCAAUGUGCAACUCUGGGGCCAGUGAAGAAACAGAGUUCCGGCUUCACCUGGAGAGCAAGCAGCACAAGAGCAAAGUGUCAGAGCAGCGCUACCGCAGUGAAAUGGAGAACCUUGGAGAUAAUGGGAAGACAGGGCCUGCAUCCCCCUGUGACACUGAAUGUGGAAAGUGGACAAGCCGAGUCACAACGUUUGUGUUUGGCUGAGUUGAAUAAGUGAGAAGCACAAAUUGAGUGAAGUGAUAACCAGGGCUUGGCUGCAUGUUGGAGCUUAAAUGGAAUAACCUGGAGGCAACAUCAAGACAUUAGGCUGCAGAUUGGAAGCAUGUGCAACCCUCAGGAGAACCCUCCACCUAAUGAUGACACUUCCACCUACCGAGAUUCCUCCUCCUGAUGACAUCAUUUCCUGUUCCGGUCCCACCAACUUCCACCUCUUCCUGUCUUCAACAUAUAUAUCCAUCAUCUUUCCUAUCUAUGUCAGUUCCAUUUUGAACUCGUCUUUAAACGCGUCAUUCUUUUUUUGCAGUUUUCAGUUUAUGAAGUACAAAUUCCUCACACACCUUUUUCAUGGUUCCUGCCUGUUAUUACACCUUGAAAUAUUCCUAAACUGAGAUACACAUUACUUUAACAUGGCCUUUUCAUAACUUCACUUUAACUUAAUCCUGAUACUCUAUAUGUUCAAUUCAUCA